rnacentral:rRNA from 1 species
AGUGAACGCUGGCGGUAGGCCUAACACAUGCAAGUCGAACGGCAGCACAGUAAGAGCUUGCUCUUACGGGUGGCGAGUGGCGGACGGGUGAGGAAUACAUCGGAAUCUACUUUUUCGUGGGGGAUAACGUAGGGAAACUUACGCUAAUACCGCAUACGACCUACGGGUGAAAGCAGGGGAUCUUCGGACCUUGCGCGAUUGAAUGAGCCGAUGUCGGAUUAGCUAGUUGGCGGGGUAAAGGCCCACCAAGGCGACGAUCCGUAGCUGGUCUGAGAGGAUGAUCAGCCACCCUGGCACAGAGACACGGUCCAGACGCCUACGGGAGGCAGCAGUGGGGAAUAUUGGACAAUGGGCGCAAGCCUGAUCCAGCCAUACCGCGUGGGUGAAGAAGGCCUUCGGGUUGUAAAGCCCUUUUGUUGGGAAAGAAAAGCAGCAGGUUAAUACCCCGCUGUUCUGACGGUACCCAAAGAAUAAGCACCGGCUAACUUCGUG